GGAAGUAAAGUCGUAACAAGGUUUCCGUGGGUGAACCUGCGGAAGGAUCAUUCAUAAUAAAGUGUUUUAUGGCACUUUUUAAAAAUCCAUAUCCACCUUGUGUGCAAUGUUAGAUCUCGUCAAUCUUGGCGAGAUUUUUAUACAUCAACUCAUUCUUUAACUAAUUUGUCUGAAAAAUAUUAUGAAUACUUAAUUCAAAAUACAACUUUCAACAACGGAUCUCUUGGCUCUC
rnacentral:misc_RNA from 1 species